rnacentral:rRNA from 1 species
UGGGGAAUUUUGGACAAUGGGCGCAAGCCUGAUCCAGCCAUGCCGCGUGCGGGAAGAAGGCCUUCGGGUUGUAAACCGCUUUUGGCCGGAACGAAACGGCGAUGCCUAACACGCGUCGCUAAUGACGGUACCGGCAGAAUAAGCACCGGCUAACUACGUGCCAGCAGCCGCGGUAAUACGUAGGGUGCGAGCGUUAAUCGGAAUUACUGGGCGUAAAGCGUACGCAGGCGGCUAGGUAAGACAGAUGUGAAAUCCCCGGGCCUAACCUGGGAACUGCAUUUGUGACUGCUUGGCUCGAGUCCGUCAGAGGGGGGUGGAAUUCCACGUGUAGCAGUGAAAUGCGUAGAUAUGUGGAGGAACACCGAUGGCGAAGGCAGCCCCCUGGGAUGAGACUGACGCUCAGGUACGAAAGCGUGGGGAGCAAACA